UUACUGUUAAGGAUUAAAUAUACCACUCAAACGACAGUUAGUUUAAGGAUUUACAGAAAAAAUCCAUCACAAAUCGCAUGCCACCAAGAAACACAUUUUUAUACCUGAAUCCUUAAAUUUUAAAGUUUCCUGUGGGUUUUAAUUCACAUUCCUUAACUAAAUCCAAGGGAAUUUCUAUCAUAGUCCAUAAAAACUGAAUCUUCUUUCUCCAAAUGGUAUUCUGAUCGCGAGGGACGUAUUCUAAUUUUAACCAGCCUCCUCAACUUUUUACCUAUAACUAUUAUGAAUAUCUAUACUCCAAACAAAAAUCAGAUUGCUUUCCUGGAGAGAGGUUUCCAGAAAUUGGAUGGUAUGUGGGGACUUUAAUUGCGUCUUUGACUCUGCUAUGGACGGACACAUGUUCUGGAAUGUCAGAUAACCCAUUAAAACUCUGAAACUCUCUUAUCAUGAAACCAUGCCAACUUCUACUACAUUUCAAUCUUUACGGAGAACAUUACACCCUACAUAUUUCUCCACAGUCCAUAUUCUAGAAUACAUGUGUUGUGUAGACAGCCAAACCUUACAAUCAGUGACUGAAACAGCCACUUGCACCGUCAAGGUGGUUGGAUAACCGACCUCUCUCUACCACAUUCUGUUUGUAUUUUCUGACCUGGAACUUGCCACUUUAAUGACUCCUUAUUAAAUGACCAAUCGAUACACACCAAACUAAAUUUGCUAUACAAGAUUUUUUUUGCAUCAAUGCUUCAGAACAUACCUCCCACGACAGUAGUUAGCAAGCUCAUAAGGCAGUAAUGUGGAGUCUUUUUAUACAAUUAGGGUCAGGAAAUAAAAUAAAUCACUAUUAAUUGGUUUCCCUAAUGAGCAAUAUCAAAGCCUACAAGAGAGUUUUUUCUUUGGCUGGCGUAAAGACUACUUGACUUACCAGACUUAAUAUAUUGAAAUUUAAUCAUCAAAUCCUUCUACAUAAAAGUAAAGAAACACUUAUCUUAUGUGAUAAACACCGGGUAUCCUUGCUAACAGGGCCGGUGCAAGUAGAUUUGACGCCCUAGGCAAAACAAUGUUUGCUGCCCAAUAU